AACCAGCACCUCAAGUGGUCAGGAUGAUUAUUGGGCCUAGAGCAUCCGUAGCCGGUUCUGUAAGUUUUCGGUUAAAUCCAUGCGCUCAACGCAUAGGCUGUCGAAAAUACUGCAGAACUAGGGAGUGGGAGAGGUAGACGGUACUCGGUAGGAAGGGGUAAAAUCCUUUGAUCUAUUGAUGACCACCUGUGGCGAAGGCGGACUACCAGAACACGUUUGACGGUGAGGGAUGAAAGCUGGGGGAGCAAACCGG
rnacentral:rRNA from 1 species